AUGAUAUGGCCCACGAGGCCACGAUCAGGGUUCAGGGGUCGUAACAAGAAGGAACCGCCCAGGCUCAGGGGAUCUGGCGGCACGCCAUCCUACCGUUUUCACUGCCACGCAAUGGAAACCAGUCUGGUAGCAGAGGGGCGCACCGCCCACCCGGACGGCGGGCGCGUCACGGCGGCGGCGGUGGUCGGCUGCAUCUGCCUCGACCACGUCGCGUGCGCCGAGUGCGAUCGCAUCCUCGGCAUCCCAUUCCUCGCGAUCGACGCACGGCCCCCGUCCCCACGGCACGCGUCGACGCCGGGCUCAGGCUCGCCGCCCGUCCCCAUGGCGCGCAUCGGCGUCGGGCUCAGGCUCGGGAUCGGGCCGGGCACAGGCAGAGACGGGACCCGGGCCGAGCAGUUCGACGCGUCCAUCUCCGGCAUGGCGGAGCGGCUCGGUCUCGCGGCCGCCGUCGGGGAUCGGGCCGAGGAGGUGUUCAGGAAGAUGGAGGAGGCGAGGGCGUGGCCGCGCGGCCCGGGCUGCCGCUGGGGCAAUGGCCGGACCCUCCGGGACAUGGGCAGCCUCUACGCGGCCUGCCUCUCCAUCGCGUGCCGCAACGAGGGCUCGCCGCGGUCGCUGAGGGAGCUGGCCAUGGCCACGGCGGACGGCAGCGCGGCGGCGAGGAAGGAGAUCGGCAAGCUGAUCGCGCACAUCAGGAAGCGCCUGGGCGAGGAGGAGGCGGGGCAGGCGGCGGGCGUCGGCGUGGUCCCCGUCUCCGGCUACCUGCGCCGUUUCGGGCCGCUGCUCGCGCUGGGGGACCGGGAGGCGGCGGCGGCGUUGGAGGCCGCGCGGAGGCUGGAGGAGGGCGCCCUCGACCUGCGGCACAACGCGGAGACCGUCGCGGCGGCCGUCGUCUGCAUGGCCCUGGAGCGCGCCGGCGCAAGGAGGCACAUCAGGGACGUGGCGACGGCCACCGGCAUCUCCUAUUUCGGCGUCGACAUCGUGUGCAGGAAGCUGCGACCCCACGCCGCGCUGCUCUUCGACUGA
rnacentral:rRNA from 1 species